AUGCAUCCAGCAAGAAAAGUGGCUUACAUCUAUGCGGCCACAGGCAGGAGAUUUCUUGGAUGCCCUCUCUCGGGAGCUGAUAGGUGCCCCUGGUUUUUGUGGAUUGAUGAAGCAUGGGGUCAUGUACUUAGCCGUUCACUAAUGCAACUCUGGGAUCAGGCUCGUCUGGACUCUAAAAGAGCAGCAAUGUUGGAGACUAAGAAAAAGGAAAUGGAGCAGGCAUACUUAGAGUUGUGGGCUGAGAGAACCAAUCUGGAGAUUCAACACGAGCAGGUGGUCAACAAGUUGAAGAACACAAUAAUGGACACUGAGAUUAAGAUGUCAAGGAGGUUAGCUGAAGACCAAUUCCAACAUAUUUUGUACUGUUCACACUUUUGA
rnacentral:rRNA from 1 species